UUGUAAGAAACUGAAAUAUUUUCCUUUCUCUCCAAGUUUAACUGUGCAAGAUAUUUUUCACAAUUUGAUAUUCUAUUCCCAAAAACUUUGGCUUUGUUUCAACCACGUCAAUCGUUCCAGCUUCAUAAAUUACCCCAACUUUUCUUAUGCUCUUCCACCGCCAGAAUCACUUCCUCAAGCAGCAGUAUGAAGCAAUCAACAUAGUAACUCUUUCUAUUUCUCAAUCAAGAUUCCAGCUGGAUUAUCACAAAAGAUUAACACACGAAAUCCAAAUACCCAACUGUUUCUAUUAAAGAAAUACCUUGACCAAUGCACCAAAAAUCAAAACUUUACAAAUCUGAGAAUUUCUUUUUGCUGCCUUUGGAUUUGGGAAUGAGUGAGGAAGAGAGGGGACGGUUGUCGGAGGCCCGAUGCUGGGCGAUGCUGCAGCGGCCGGCGCCGCAUGGGUGGUGGCAGCCCGUCGCUGCUCACGGUGAAGGCAGGGGAGGCGGCGCGGUUCGAGGCAGGACGGUGCGAGGCGGCACCCGACGCCGCUGAACUCGGCCGAGGCAGACGAGCGACGGCGGUGGCGUUUCCUCCAUGGCCAUCUGCCUUCAGACACGGGCACGAGAAAGGGAGAGGCAGAUGGGAGAAUGGUGAGAGAGGGAGAACGACGAGCGAGGGAAGGGUGGUGGCCGGCGACGAUCUCAUCGGGAAGAGGGGUAGCGGCGUGACUGGAUGAGAGAGGGGGAAGGACGGUGAGUUAGAAAGGAGAGAGUGAAGGGAGGAAAGGAGAGAAAGAGAGGGGUGACGGAGCCGAAGGCGGCGCCCUUCGCCGGGGAAAAAGGAAGAGGCGGCGACGCUAAGCGCCGCGUAUGUGUUGAGCGUGUUCUGGAGAGAUCGAGAGUGAGUAGAAGAGAGAGAGGUCCGAUUGGUUAAAGGGAGAGAGAAAGGGGCUCAUUUGGGCUUUGGAAUUGGACUUGUUUAUUCUAUUCUUCUUGGGCUUCAUUAUUUUGAAGAUGGGCUGCAUUUCUUUUAAUUGGAUCUGCAAGUAUGUUCACUAGUCUUAUUAUUUCUCUAUAAGUUUAUGUUCUUAUAUUUUGAUACAAUCUUUAAUUAUUAUUUUGGGCCUAUAAAUGUUUUAAUAAAUUUUAUUAAUUUUCUUUCAAGGUUAAGGAUUUAUAUUUUUAAAUUAUUAAUUAUUUUAUAAGUUUUAAAUUUAUUAAGUUAUUAAUUAUGUAUUAAAAGUUUAUGAAUUCACUCAAGGAGUUUAUUAAAACGGGCAAAGUGUAUCAAUAGUUAGCGAUUCCAUUUACUUAGAAAUUAGAAUGAUACCUCGAGACCUAUUAAGAAUAUAAUUUCUUGUAGGCUUUGUGACCAAGUGGGUUAGCGCUGCUUUCCCAAGACAGGUUUAUAUGUGUAUGAUCUUCAGGCUUUGCCUAUCCAGGUUGAUCAGCUGGUGCAGAUGGGGUUGAGCUGAAGUUAGGGAUCCGCUUCGUAUUUCACUUCCGCUAACGACUAGCUUGCUAUCUUGUCUUUCAAUCCCCUAAACUCAGAACUUCUAUUAUAUGAUAAAAUAAUAUUUUGUUGAGCUUAGACACUUAAUUCAUAUUUCAAUUAGUGAAGCCAUAUUUGAUUA